AGGUGGAAGGGCUGGGGGCAGUGGCCGUGGUGCAGGCAGGUGAGGAAAGGGAAGGGUGAGGGAUGGGGGUCUGGCAGGACGGGGGUCUGGGAGAAACUGCGAGGGGGCAGAUGGGAAUGAGGCCUAAAAGGGGUAGCGACCCUGGGGAAGGUCACCCGCCAGGCAGGACUAGAGGGCCCGGGGCCUGGUGCGAGGCGGGUGUGAGGGGGAGGCCGGCCUGAGCUUGUCCCGCCCUCUCAGAUUUCAAGUAGAUCCCUCUGACCCUGGGUUGGCCUGUCUCCCUUAGCAGCGCCCCCUCUGCUCCCGGCAGCCUUAGCCCCCCACCCAGAUGAGGUGGGCGGAGAGGCCUCUAUCUCAGGCCUGCACAGCACCUGCCCAGGAGCGCCAUAAAUGUCUGUUGAGUUGCCCUGAGCCCGGCAAGGACAGCUACCAGCUGAGAUGCAGCUCCCUUGCCCUCUAAGGAGGACGCAAAGUCACCAGUGGGCUUUCUUUGCCUCGGCUCCGCAGACUGAGAGCUGGGGCAGGUGUCCAAGGUGUGCAUUCUUUCAGUUAUUUGAUACCUAUGUAGUGAUCACCUGCUAUGUGCUAGGUACUGUUUUAGAUGCUGGGAAUACAGUGUAGAACUAAACAGACAAAAUGUCUGCCUUGGUAGAGCUUUCAGUGCAGUCAGGGAAAUAAAUAAGCAAAAUAAGGUAGUAAGUUAGAAAGUAAAGAUGGCUACUUGAAGAAACAGAGCAGGGCCAAGUGAGGAGAAUAAAGAGUUGGGGGCAAGGGGUGUGGAAGAUGUUGCAGUUUUCAAUGGGAUGUUAGCAAUGGCCUCAUGGAAGUGACAUCUGAUGAAGACUCAAAGAGGGUGAGAGAGAGAGCCAUGAGGAUAUCUCUGGGGGAAGAGCAUUCUUGGCAGAGGAAACAGCAGUGCAAAGGCCCUGGGGUGAGAGCAUAGUUGGUGAGUUGGAGAGAGACCAAAGAGACCAGUGUGGCUGGAGUGGAGUGAGGGAGGCGAGGUGAAGCAGGAGAGUUCAGAGGGAGGAGGAGGCGUUUCAGUCCUUGGCGGGCCUUGUGGGCCAUCAUGAAGACCUUGGCUUUGACUCUGGUGAAGUGGGAGGUCCGUGCAGGACUUUCUGACCUCUGUUUUAGGACUCGGACCAGCUGCUGUGCUGAGAACACUGCCAGUAGUUCAGGAGAGAGAUGGUUGUGGGUACACCGGGGUGAUAGCUGGGGGCUGGGCUGAGGAUGUUGGAUUCCGGACACUGCAUUUGAGGAGAGAGCUGACCCUCUGGAACGCCAGGGGUGAGGAAGCACUGUCAUCAUCCGCAUCGCCCCUUCCGGGUGCCUCACGCCAGCUUUCCAAGUGCUUCACACAGGUUUGUCCGUCUCUUAUCUCCUCAGCAGCCCCGGAAGAACAGACCUUGUGGACGGCACUUCACCACGAGGAAGCUGAACUGAGACAUUGGUUGUGAGGAGGGAAGGUUAGGAGAUAACUUCAGCCAUGACCAGCAUAACCUUCAGGCACCCCCAAGGACCUAUGUCGAAGGUGGACCUGAAAGGUCUCAGAUGCUGGGGACAGCCCCAGGAAAGGGAUGUGUUAAAGUUUUAGCAGGGGGCCCUUUAGCGCCUGUUCCCUUUGGUUGCACCAAGAGGGAAGAGGAAGAAGAAGAGAAGGAAUCUCCACAGAUCUCCACACCUCCCCCUCAGACCCUCGUGUUCUCCUCUCAGCUCUAGCCUGGAGACCUGUCUCUCCAGACGUUUGCCUGGAAUGUUCGCUCCCCUCUGGUCCAGGAGGGACGUUCCUGCGCAUUCUUGGAGACCCAGGCCAAGGAGCCCUGCUCCACGGCUGACUGAUCCUGUGUCAGCCCACAGCAGUGCUACCUCCCUCUGUGACCGGGCUUUGUAGUGACGAGUGUUCGGACCUGCCUCGGCUGCCAUACUGUAAUGUGAACCAUCGCUGUUCCAUCUGUGCGCCCCCAGCUAGUAGUUUCCAAGACAAGCCCUAUGUCUUCAUGAGCCUGAACCCUAACUCUGCAGGGGCUGCCUGGCCAGUGGCAUUUAACCUCUCCAUCCCUCACGUGCUUACAGCUCCUCAGGUAGAAUACCUACUCCCCCCACAUAGAGCUGGUUGAGAAUUUAGUGAGAAAAUACAAGCAAAGCACUUAACAUUGUGCUGGUACACUGUAAGAACCCAAAAACCGUGAGCUGUCAUUCUGCAUCUCCGUCCCCCUUGUACCCACGAGGUAGGAGCUCAAAUGAAAGAGUGAACCAAUGAGGCGGGAGGUCUUCAAGGUGUGGAAUCAGCCUGCAGGUGUUUUCCUUUAGGACUUCACAGAACAAUCAGUAUUUGUGAUGACGAUGUUUGAGGCUUCCACCUUCACCAGGCCACCCUGGGAGUGGCAGACACCCAACAGAGUACUCACGGCCAUUAGCUUGAGGCCUGAGGUCACUGGGGUAGAGGGCUCAGGAGCAGAUGCCAACAAACAUUGUCAGCCUGACCUGCCCAGAGAAAAACCCUGCUGGGCCAUCACUGUGCAGAGCCCCAGAGGGGCCCCAGGUCUCUGGACUCCGUGUUACCUCUGUGAUGUUUUGGUCCUCACCCACUGCCUGAGCUGCUCUGCCAUGGCGACCCUGGGGGCAUGCAAGCAUUGGCAUGUGGAGAAGUUCCCCAGGCUGUUUUCCAGGCACUGGUAUUACAGGUUUCACAAGGAUGGGAGAAAUCACAGCCUGUAGGCCAAACCCAGCCCUGAGGCCUGGCGAUGCCCAGAGGAAAGAAGCGAAGUGGAAGAUGGCUCAGGAACUAUGACUCCUGGCUAAUCCCUCCAGCAAAUCUGGCUUCCCAGGAGCAGUGGGGACAGGCUCAGGGCUCAGAGCAAAGCUGUUCAGGGAAAUGUUCUGGAACUGGUGAGCCACGGCCCGGGGAACGUGUGUGACUCUCCUCCACGGUCUGAAAUCCAGAACUGACGACUCCUUGCUGGAGGCGAGAGGCCUACGUUGUCCUUUAAACAAUCCUUACGAACUACUCCUGACGUGCGAAAGGGCGUAAGGAAUGGGGCAGUGAACACCUGUGCGCUAGCGCUGAACGCAAGAAAUAAGACAUCAGCCCGGCCUUUGGAGCCUCCCGAGCAAAUGCCCGCCCGGAGAGCCGCAAACUCGGGAGCCGAGCUUCGUGAGCGACCUGCUCUUGUGCUUGGGGCCGGCAGCUGUUCAGGGUGGGCCGCAAGGAAGCGGAGCUUCAGCGUCUGAUCUGGGAAGGCACCGGGGAGCCGCCCUGGGUCUAGAAGAUCGCCAGCACGAUUAUCCCCGUCGCUAGAGUUUUCCGCCUCCAGAGUGGAUGAGUUGAAAUUUUGACUCCAGCGCUCCGCGGCCCCUUCUCAUCCUGGUGAGGAAACUGAGGCCCAGUGAGCGGUUUGCCCUCUCGGGGGGUCGGAACUCAGGCGGUGCCGAGUGGAGGGGGGACCAUGCCUGCCAAGGAAGCAGGGUUUUGAGGCAGAGGUCUUCCCCGGCCUCCCACCGCGGGCUGAUGCUGCGUUUUGCCGGCCUGGUCCGUCCACUCUUUGGGAUAGACCAGCCACUUGUGCUCAGGCCACAGUGUUCCGUGGACAAAGCCAGGGUGGCCUUCAUCUGUGUUUCCUGGAGGUUCCACAUCGAUUCCAGCCACAGCCACCCUAGCACAGGGCACAAUGUGGGAAGUCCUGACUGGUGGCUCUGCUUGACAUACAUUAUCAUCUCCCAAAAAUGAGAUUCUUGCCUCGGUCUCGUGGCUUGGCAUCCCAUGCAGCUGGGCCCUCCGCCGACCGGGCACUUACGGGGUACCUGUGGGCCACCCGUGGUCCCACGCCAACCCUUCACCCCACACCCUUCUGUGGCAGCUUAGUCCGUGGCCUUUAGUGUCACCUGGUGUUACCCUUGGGGAUUAUUUCUUCUUUGUCUUAUAAAUAGCUGAGCACGUGCCCAGGCUGGCUGUUAAUCCGGGGCACUGGCUGGGGACUGGACAAUCACGUCCACCUCAGCUCAGGCCAAGAGCCGCACACACAGCAUCCCUGACCCAAGUUACAGAAGCACAGCCCGUGAAGCACCAGCCUGCAGUUCUGAGGCUGUGGCUGGAUCCCAGAAUUGAUCAGAGGGAGACCCACGAAGGACAUGGUCCUCACAAAGCCAUCCUGCUGACGUCACCCCAUCUCACUUCCCUGUGGCCAUGAGCCUCAAACCCUGUGGGAGUCCCCCCCCCUCCCAGGGAGAGGGAGGGGAGGGGGAUAGGAAUCGAGAAUGAGGGCUCUGGAAGUAGGAGGCCGGC